rnacentral:rRNA from 1 species
UACAGAGGGUGCGAGCGUUAAUCGGAAUUACUGGGCGUAAAGCGUGCGCAGGCGGUUCUCCAAGUCCGUUGUGAAAGCCCCGGGCUCAACCUGGGAAUGGCAGUGGAAACUAGGGGACUUGAAUCUGGCAGAGGGGGUGGAAUUCCACGGUGUAGCAGUGAAAUGCGUAGAUAUCAGUAGGAACACCAAUGGCGAAGGCAGCUUGCUGGGACCAUUUCUGACGCUGGAGGCACUGAAAGCGUGGGAGCGAACAGG